rnacentral:tRNA from 1 species
GGGGAAAUAUGUUGGUCUAGCAGAAACAAUUAGACAGUUUGAUCUGUUUUACCGAGAAGGUCUACGGUUCGAGUCCGUAUAGCCCUA